rnacentral:rRNA from 1 species
ACUCCUACGGGAGGCAGCAGUGGGGAAUAUUGCACAAUGGGCGCAAGCCUGAUGCAGCCAUGCCGCGUGUAUGAAGAAGGCCUUCGGGUUGUAAAGUACUUUCAGCAGUGAGGAAGGUGGAGUCGUUAAUAGCGGCCUCAUUUGACGUUAGCUGCAGAAGAAGCACCGGCUAACUCCGUGCCAGCAGCCGCGGUAAUACGGAGGGUGCGAGCGUUAAUCGGAAUUACUGGGCGUAAAGCGCAUGCAGGUGGUUUGUUAAGUCAGAUGUGAAAGCCCGGGGCUCAACCUCGGAAUUGCAUUUGAAACUGGCAGACUAGAGUACUGUAGAGGGGGGUAGAAUUUCAGGUGUAGCGGUGAAAUGCGUAGAGAUCUGAAGGAAUACCGGUGGCGAAGGCGGCCCCCUGGACAGAUACUGACACUCAGAUGCGAAAGCGUGGGGAGCAAACAGGAUUAGAUACCCUGGUAGGAUAGCG